CUGCCCAGUGACAUAGUUUAACGGCCGCGGUAUCCUAACCGUGCAAAGGUAGCAUAAUCAUUUGCCUAUUAAUUGUAGGCUAGAAUGAACGGAAUUACGAAAUAAAGACUGUCUCAGUUGAUAAUCUAAAAAUUAAUAUCUACAUGAAGAAUAGUAGAUAAAAUCGAAGGACAAGAAGACCCUAUAGAGCUUUAUUUAAUACACAGAACACACUGUAAUAAAAUUCGGUUGGGGCGACCCAGGUAUAUUCAUCAACCUAAAAAAUAAAGAUAUAUAAAUCUAAUAAUUGACCCUAUUAAGAUCACAAAAUCAAGCUACCUUAGGGAUAACAGGCUAAUCCCAUUUUAGAGUUCAUAUCGACAAUGGGGGUUGGCACCUCGAUGUUGGCUUAGGUAUCAGUAUAGCGCAAAAGUUAUACAAAACUGGUUUGUUCAACCAAUGAUUUCCU
rnacentral:rRNA from 1 species